GGAUGUGAGGGCAAUCUGGUUGUGACAUCUGUCACCUUAUAGAUCACCAGGAUGGAUUUGGCUGAUCCGGCUGGCUAGGCAGGUGUCCCCUUCUUCCCUCACCACUCUACAUGUGUCCCUCCAAAGCUGUGUGCUUAGUGGAAGAAGACAAGCACCUCUGAUAGAGAAGACCAUAUCCUCUGUCAAGGUAUACAGAGUAACUGUGCUCCCCAAGCUCUCCAUAUUUAAAAAUGGCUCAAGACCACAGUGAAGGAGAAGUUGAAAGGGAAGUCACAGAUCCAAGCAUGACUAAUCUU
rnacentral:snRNA from 1 species